rnacentral:tRNA from 1 species
CGGGGCGUAGCGCAGCCUGGUAGCGCAUCUGCUUUGGGAGCAGAGGGUCGUGAGUU